UUCACACUAGAAAUAAUGGAAUCUGUGUCUUUUAAAAAGUUCAGUUUUUGACUAGCCUGUCCACAUUACAUUGUAUCAUGUUUAGAUUCAACAGGUUUGUCAGCGAUGAAACCAUUUUUCAGCAAGACUGCGUGAGUCUCAACUUUGGAUUGUGGCUAGGGUAGCAUAAACAAAAAUAUUUAACUCACCAAGCUCAGAGUUGAGAGGUG